UGACCAUUCAGUUUUUUGCUCUUCUAGACGAAGGAAGACCGCUGAAAUCAUAUAAUAUCACGAUAUAUGAUUGAGCUUGAAAAUUUUAGAUUUCUUUCUUCUUUAAGUAAUUCUUGAUAAUUACUCCGUCGUUUUACAAAUGCUAUGUACACCUUUGAGCAUCGUGAGGCAUGAUUUGAAAUCCAACACCAUUUUCUUUUUGAAUUUCUCACGAAGGAAUUGCCAGUCAUUCGAUUUCUUUAAUUGUACAGGAAUAGGGAAAUUGUAGUCGGCCUACAUAUGAGGUUUGGCUGAUUUCAUUCGAUUGCCUGUUCCGAAGUCCAUCUUUAAUCGGAAAGCGUCCUCCGGCUUUAUGACCCUCGAUGUGUGCAUGAAUAUUUCCAAGUUGUUGGUUGUGGUUUGCGGUGCACGGUGAGCAAGACGCACCAACGAUUUGGGUGACUAGGUCAAACCCAAAGCACGUAGACCCGAUAAAAUUCAAGUAGUCCCUUACAAAAUAUCUGAACCUGGCGCAUGGUUGUGGGAGCCAAGCCAGGCCUGGAGCACGUUCCCCCACUCUUUAGCUCAUGGUGGAGGUGUCUCUUUUUGCCCAGAUCUCCCCCCCCCCGUUUUUAAAUACCCCCUACCUCUAUGGUUUGUUUCAGACCCAGAUACUAACAAGCAGUUUUCAGAAAACGCUAAACUGUAUUUGGUGAACUCUUUCGUGCAAACCAUUUAGCACAGCUCUAUACGACCGCGUAGCCUUGAGCAGGGGUGUAGUGCUAGGGGUGCUCAGGGGGGAGGGGCUGACCACCGUUGUUAAUACUGAAGAGAAGCCAAUUUCUACUAUUGCUAGUGUUUUUCGCAGCGUUUUGCGCAAGAGCCCCUUGUUAUUUUGAUAGCACUACACCCCUGGCCAAGAGGAAGAGGGGGAUUUAGCACCAAUUAUCUGCUGAAGGAAUUUUCCACAUAUUUUCUUAAAUAUUUUCCACAUAUCCCCUUCUCACUAAAACAUGGCACUUUAUCUGCCCUAAAAAAGAGUGAAGACCUAUAGUCAAUGUUGUAGCGUACUAAUGUGCGUACUUUUCUACUGAGAAAUUCAUUGUAAUGGCAAUAUCAGGGACUGCGGAAGUAGGGGGCUGAGGGGCUUUAGCCCCCCCCUCCAAAAUUUCCAAAAUGUAAUUAAAAACACAACCGGCAAAAUGUAAAAAAAUUGCCUUGUUCUUUGUUUUAGGCAUGUUUACCCCCCCUCC